rnacentral:rRNA from 1 species
AACGAACGCUGGCGGCAUGCCUAACACAUGCAAGUCGAACGAGACCUUCGGGUCUAGUGGCGCACGGGUGCGUAACGCGUGGGAAUCUGCCCUUGGGUUCGGAAUAACAGUUAGAAAUGACUGCUAAUACCGGAUAAUGUCUUCGGACCAAAGAUUUAUCGCCCAGGGAUGAGCCCGCGUAGGAUUAGCUAGUUGGUGAGGUAAAGGCUCACCAAGGCGACGAUCCUUAGCUGGUCUGAGAGGAUGAUCAGCCACACUGGACUGAGACACGGCCCAGACUCCUACGGAGGCGAGCAGUGGGGAAUAUUGGACAA